AGAGUUUGAUCAUGGCUCAGAGCGAACGCUGGCGGCGUACUUAACACAUGCAAGUCGAACGGGGAUCGUCGGGUUAGCAAUAAUUCGGCGGUUCUAGUGGCGCACGGGUGAGUAACACGUGGGUAACCUGCCCUUGAGUUCGGGAUACCCCCUCGAAAGGGGGGCUAAUACCGGAUACGUUCCUCGGGUCGAGAGAUCUGGGGAGGAAAGGUGGCGCAAGCUGCCGCUCUUGGAGGGGCUCGCGGCCUAUCAGCUAGUUGGCGGGGUAACGGCCCACCAAGGCUAUGACGGGUAGCUGGUCUGAGAGGACGACCAGCCACACGGGGACUGAGACACGGCCCCGACUCCUACGGGAGGCAGCAGUGGGGAAUUUUCCGCAAUGGGCGAAAGCCUGACGGAGUGACGCCGCGUGUGGGACGAAGGCCUUCGGGUCGUAAACCACUGUCAGUGGGAAAGAAGGGUGUCGGCGCGAUAACCGCCGGCAUUUGACGGUACCUGCAGAGGAAGCCCCGGCCACUCUGUGCCAGCAGCCGCGGUA
rnacentral:rRNA from 1 species